UUGAAAACAGUAGCAGAACUCAACAAGUUCAUCUUAACGCACAGAAGUACUGUUUCUUUCCAUUUUCAAUAUCAAAGAUUUAACAACAAGAUAUUAUCACGAACAAAUAGUAUUGCUAGAUGAAAUCGAAUUGGAACAACAAUCAUGGUUCCCUCAGAAGGAAGCAAAGCAGAAUCGAAACAUAGAAAUAAAGUUCGGAAAGGAAGCUAACCGGUUGCGGCGAACUCGACCGACGAAUUAUCCGCCCCUUUUAUAAUCCCAUUGCUAGGGUUUGGAUGAGAUCAAAAGAGUAUUGGAAUUGGAAGUGCUUUCUUGUGCUGCUAUGUUGUCUAUCCCAUUAUGGUACUUGCUCUGAAAAAAGUGAAUUUUCUUGCAACUUUGAGGCUUCUGUUAACAACACUCAACCUUGCAAGAGUAACCUGUUUCUCCAUGCGAACCACAAAAUAUGUACAAAUGGUUUUGCAAGUCCAGUUACCAGUCCAGACAAGUCUGUGGUUAACGGUUGUUUGAAUUGCCACAGGUCUUGAAGAUGAGAUCCAACAACAGUUUUGGAAGCGGAGACAGAUGCAGUAGAUAUGUCUGAAGACGACCAUUUUAAGUCACUUGUUGCCUUUGCACAACCUCCUACAGCCUUUAUCUCAACAUCCAUGAUUUCUUGAACAACUGUGAUAGUCUCAUUUUGUCAUUGGCACCACCAAGAUAGUUCACAGAAGCUGCCAAAUUUCCAAGUCCUGGAGAAUAAGCUUUCAAGAUUUUAGUAUUCCGCCAACCAUGUUUUAAGGAGAUAUCAUUGAAACCGGCACAGUUCUCCAAUAAUCCUAAAGUUAAUCAUCAACCUUAACAUCAUCACUCUCUGUAAUGUAAAUCUCUUGUGUGCCAUGAGCAUGUGCAAAAACCUUUAUUUGGAUAAGAUAUUGACGGCCAGAUACAACAUACCAACGUGCCAUUAGAGGAAUAGAUUCAAUUUCUUCCAAAGGAUCACCAGAACUAGACAAAGGUGUUAUAUAUAAUGAUAAAGAAGCUAGCAGGACCGAUAGCAAACCCUUUUCCAAUGGCAGCAGUUGUAUUUCCUGCAGCAUCAAGAGCAUCGGUUCUCUCACGAAUUCUGUGACUCAUUCCAGUUGAUGGUGCAUGAUCUGGCCCGUUCUCACUUUUCUUUGAUGAGCAGAAGCCUUAGAGAUCCAUGUAGGAAGCAAACAAGGCGCAUUAUUCAGUGCAUCAUAUGAUGUUUCUUUUGCUUUUCCAACCAAUGAAAUUAGAUCAAGCAUUAAUAGCAGGCAGCAACUGUCACUCCAGAGCCAACACUAUGCAACUGAUGUGUUUUAUGAUUCUGCGGGAAUACCUUCAUUGGAUUGGCCAAAUAUUCUAAGAUUCUGGUCCAUUGAUGCAACUGCCAGGUAUUUCGAAUCAGGACUAAAUUUUACACAUGUGGAUGUCCCAGUUCCAGAUAAAUCAGGAAAAGUUUUGAUCAAGCUCCAUUCAGAUUUCACAUUUGCAACUUGGUAUAUCCUUACAUCAGAGCCUGCAACUGCAAGGUAGGACCCACUGUGGUCAAACUCCACAGAGUUUGUUGGAGUGUCUGCAUCAUAUGGAACAAAAUUCCUGAAUUUUUUCAAUUUACGUAGAUCCCAAAGCUUUACACCAUCCUUAGCCGCAGUCGUAAGGUAGUAUCCAUUCUCAGAAAAUGAUAUUGCAGUUACAUCCCCCACAUGUCCAUCAAACUUGGCAACAUUUGCCUUACCUUUUACAUCC